GACGAACGCUGGCGGCGUGCUUAACACAUGCAAGUCGAACGGAAAGGCUCCAGCUUGCUGGAGUACUCGAGUGGCGAACGGGUGAGUAACACGUGGGUGAUCUGCCCUGCACUUCGGGAUAAGCCUGGGAAACUGGGUCUAAUACCGGAUAGGACCGCACUUUGGUGUGUGUGGUGGAAAGGUUUUUCUGGUGUGGGAUGAGCUCGCGGCCUUUCAGUUUGUUGGUGGGGUAAUGGCCUACCAAGACGGCGACGGGUAGCCGGCCUGAGAGGGUGGACGGUCAAAUUGGGACUGAGAUACGGCCCAGACUUCUACGGGAGGCAGCAGUGGGGAAUAUUGCACAAUGGGGGAAACCCUGAUGCAGCGACGCCGCGUGGGGGAUGAAGGCCUUCGGGUUGUAAACUCCUUUCGCUAGGGACGAAGCUUUUUGUGACGGUACCUGGAGAAGAAGCACCGGCUAACUACGUG
rnacentral:rRNA from 1 species